CGCAGCCGCGGUAAUUCCAGCUCCAAUAGCGUAUAUUAAAGUUGUUGCAGUUAAAAAGCUCGUAGUUGAAUUUCGGGACUAACAGAUUGGUCGCGCCUUUGGUGUAUACUGGUCUAGUUGGUUUCUCCCUUCUGACGAACCACGAUGUCAUUAAUUUGGUGUCGUGGGAAAUCAGGACUGUUACUUUGAAAAAAUUAGAGUGUUUAAAGCAAGCGCUAGCUUGAAUACAUUAGCAUGGAAUAAUGAAAUAGGACGUUUGACCCUAUUUUGUUGGUUUCUAGGAUCGAUGUAAUGAUUAAUAGGGAUAGUUGGGGGCAUUAGUAUUCAAUUGUCAGAGGUGAAAUUCUUGGAUUUAUUGAAGACUAACUACUGCGAAAGCAUUUGCCAAGGAUGUUUUCAU
rnacentral:rRNA from 1 species